ensembl:lncRNA MIR4500HG MIR4500 host gene
AAGCUGCAGCAGACAUGAUGGGCCCGGGGCGAAGCGGGCGCUCGGUGGCCGAUAGAUGGCAGCCGAGGGCGAAGGCGUCCCUGGGCUAGGGCGGCGCAACCGGGGCCCCCUUGGAUGUCACAUUCGUAGGAAGAGAGAGAAGUCUUGGACCAUGUGUGUAAUUCGAGCGUGGGACUGUGCAAUUCUCGGAUUGGGAAAGGGAGGAGUGGAAAUAACCCCGGCAGUGCCAGGCUUGCUGGUGGUCAGGAACAGAUGAUUCCAGCCCUGUGCUGAUCGCCUGCCUUCCUCCUGCCAUUCAGAAUGCUGCUGUCUCGUGUACUUACUGUUAAGGAUCCUGGAAAAGGGAGUGGUUCCUCCUAGCUGCAAACAAGGGCGCUACUUUUCUUUUCUCUUUAAUAGAAUUACGUUUUAUAGGUGUGUCUAGGCAACACAAGGGAAUGUGAAAGACUUUCAGAGGGAAUGUUUGUGAAUACAUCUGGUGUGUACUAAAAAGCUGGAAAACCCCUAAGUAAAUGCAAUAUCGAUAGAAAGCGAGUUUCUUGAAGAGUCAUCUGCUAAACUCCACUAGAGUCAUCUCUACAGGUGUGGUUAAGAGAAAAAAAAAUUGCCAUUAAGGAAUCAGCAAAUAGGAUGUCUGAAGUGAGGAUAUAGCACCUAUCUCUGAGAUUAAAGUCAUCUGAUCAAAAAUGAUGCCUCUGAGACUAUAACAAAGGAAUGAAUAAUGAAAUAUAAGAAUGGGGAUUCUGCACUAACUCUAUGGGGAAGAAAACAAUGUCUCUGUUCAUCAUGAGAAAUGCUCAGCGACUGCAGACAUAAAGAGAAAGCUUUCAAUUAAAGUUUCAAUGAUGGGAUAGGAACUGAGAAGUCUGUGGAGUUUUCUGCCUAGGAGUACCCUUGGAAAAGCCACUGCUAUGCCCAACCAGCACUGGGAAUCCCAGAUCACAUGCAAUCAUAGGAGUUGCCCUGGAGGCAGAAGCUCAGCACAUGUUCUGGUACAAGGAGAUUACAGUGUUGUGCAAAGCAAAGGGAUGAAUGAUGCCCAACUCUCUAACAUGGGCCUCGGUUUCCACAUCGAGGUUGGAAAUGAGCUAGGAAGCAGAUCCACCAUAAAUGGAGAAAGAAGAGAAACAAGUUGAGCUUUUAAUGACCCCGUAGCCUGACUCUUUGGUAUGGAAAUGGAAAGAGAUCCUCAUGGAAACAUAAAUAAAAUAUAUCACAUGUAACUUAUACCAAUAAUUAUUUUCUCCCCCAGUACCUCAAUUUUGCCCAGAUUGGACUCUAUUUUAUUUCCUUAUUUUUCCACAGUAAUUUACUUAAGUAAAACCAGGAUUUAUUUUAUUCAUCUCCAUGUCAGUUGCUAAGUCCAAGGGAUGUAUAUAGUUUAAAAAAUAUCACAAAGGAUGAUAUGGUGAAAUUGAACAACACAUUAUUACCUGAUGUACAGUCAUUGAUUUUGUAUACUAGCCUUUACCCCUGGCUACUGAUAAUUUUGGAUUUUGAAGAUUCAAAGACAGAGACUUGUAAAUACUUUAGUUUUUACACUUCUUUAUCAUACUCAUACCUGGGAUGGAAAAGUAUCAUUUAAUAUAUUAAGAACAUUGUUAUAGUACAUGUAUUUAAAUAACUCACAAGAGCAAGUAAUCUUACCUCAUGUCAUCUAUUUUUGAAAAAAUAUUUUGUGUAUUUCCACAUGCUUCUUCCAGAUGACCUUUAGCAAAACUUUGUGAAGUUUCAUUGUGGCUGUUGUCUUAGAAAGAUGGUCUUGUUAAUAAGGUCAGUGUUUUAGCCUUGCAAUAUAAGAUUAUGUGCAUUUGUUUAGAGGGAGACUUUAGGAUACAGCGAAGUGUUUUACAAAUGUUUACCAUUUUUAUUCUUAUUAGAUUUUUGAAAGUAUUUGGUUUAAAAUUUUCUUCUUUUUAUUCAACCAGCUCUUUAAAUUACCCAUCAAUUCUUGUUAAGAGUGUGUAUUGUAUAUCUCUCUAUACAUUUCAUGUAUUUUUGUAUGAAUUGUGCUAUUUUUAUAAUUUUUCUAUUUAGCCUCUGUAUCCAAUAUGAUUCAAUGUAUACAUGGAUGCCAUACGUAGGUACUGAUUAUUUCCUCUUUUAUUAUUAAUAAAUUCUAAUUUAUUUCAAUGUGUUAUCUCUGUAAUACAUAAUAUUCUAGACAAUAUUGACUCCAUUUUUUAUGUUUUAGAAUUCCUAAAUUAUAAUUGCACAUAAAUUAAUAUUUUAAUUGUCUUGAUGGACACAGUGUUCUUUUACUAUGCAUUGUAAUAUUUAUCAUCCAAGCUAUACUUUCAAAUGUGUUUUAUUCUCCUCCAUUUUAUAUCUCAGUGAAGGUGUCCCUCCUAAACUUAGCUAUUAAAUGAAAUAAAUAAACUAUGAAUCAUUCCACA